rnacentral:rRNA from 1 species
CUCCCGCUUGCGGGGGUGAUUAGUGGCGAACGGGUGAGUAAUACGUGAGUAACCUGCCCUUGACUCUGGGAUAAGCCUGGGAAACCGGGUCUAAUACUGGAUACGACUUCUCAUCGCAUGGUGGGGGGUGGAAAGGGUUUGACUGGUUUUGGAUGGGCUCACGGCCUAUCAGCUUGUUGGUGGGGUAAUGGCUCACCAAGGCGACGACGGGUAGCCGGCCUGAGAGGGUGACCGGCCACACUGGGACUGAGACACGGCCCAGACUCCUACGGGAGGCAGCAGUGGGGAAUAUUGCACAAUGGGCGCAAGCCUGAUGCAGCGACGCCGCGUGAGGGAUGACGGCCUUCGGGUUGUAAACCUCUUUCAGCAGGGAAGAAGCCACAAGUGACGGUACCUGCAGAAGAAGCGCCGGCUAACUACGUGCCAGCAGCCGCGGUAAUACGUAGGGCGCAAGCGUUGUCCGGAAUUAUUGGGCGUAAAGAGCUCGUAGGCGGUUUGUCGCGUCUGCUGUGAAAGCCCGGGGCUCAACCCCGGGUCUGCAGUGGGUACGGGCAGACUAGAGUGCAGUAGGGGAGACUGGAAUUCCUGGUGUAGCGGUGAAAUGCGCAGAUAUCAGGAGGAACACCGAUGGCGAAGGCAGGUCUCUGGGCUGUUACUGACGCUGAGGAGCGAAAGCAUGGGGAGCGAACAGGAUUAGAUACCCUGGUAGUCCAUGCCGUAAACGUUGGGCACUAGGUGU